GAUGAACGCUGGCGGCGUGCCUAAUACAUGCAAGUCGAGCGAACAGACGAGGAGCUUGCUCCUCUGACGUUAGCGGCGGACGGGUGAGUAACACGUGGAUAACCUACCUAUAAGACUGGGAUAACUUCGGGAAACCGGAGCUAAUACCGGAUAAUAUAUUGAACCGCAUGGUUCAAUAGUGAAAGACGGUUUUGCUGUCACUUAUAGAUGGAUCCGCGCCGCAUUAGCUAGUUGGUAAGGUAACGGCUUACCAAGGCAACGAUGCGUAGCCGACCUGAGAGGGUGAUCGGCCACACUGGAACUGAGACACGGUCCAGACUCCUACGGGAGGCAGCAGUAGGGAAUCUUCCGCAAUGGGCGAAAGGCUGGCGGAGCAACGCCGCGUAAGUGAUGAAGGUCUUCGGAUCGUAAUACUCUGUUAUUAGGGAAGAACAAAUGUGUAAGUAACUAUGCACGUCUUGACGGUACCUAAUCAGAAAGCCACGGCUAACUACGUG
rnacentral:rRNA from 1 species